rnacentral:misc_RNA from 1 species
AACUGAUACUACCUGCGGGAACCUGCGGAAGGAUCAUUAAUGAGAAGCUGCCCCUCGUGGGUAGACCUCCCACCCUCUGUGAACUUACCUUUGUUGCUUUGGCAGGCCCGUCCUCUGGACCGCCGGCUUCGGCUGGCCCGUGCCUGCCAGAGGAUUCCAAACCCUGUCUGUCAGUGUUGUCUGAGUCUAUAUGAAAUCGUUAAAACUUUUAACAAUGGAUCUCUAGAUCGGAAGAGCACA